rnacentral:rRNA from 1 species
CACGUAGGGCGCAAGCGUUGUCCGGAAUUAUUGGGCGUAAAGAGCUCGUAGGCGGUCUGUUGCGUCCGCUGUGAAAACUCGGGGCUUAACCCCGAGCCUGCAGUGGAUACGGGCAGACUAGAGGUAGGUAGGGGAGAAUGGAAUUCCCGGUGUGAGGCGGUAGAAAUGCGCAGAUAGUCGGGAGGAACACCGGUGGCGAAGGCGGUUCUCUGGGACGGUACUGACGCUGAGACGCGAAAGCGUGGGGAGCGAACAGG